rnacentral:rRNA from 1 species
CGGGGGGAGCAAGCGUUGUUCGGAUUUACUGGGCGUAAAGGGCGCGUAGGCGGCGCGACAAGUCACUUGUGAAAUCUCCGGGCUUAACUCGGAGCGGUCAAGUGAUACUGUCGUGCUAGAGUGCGGAAGGGGCUACUGGAAUUCUCGGUGUAGCGGUGAAAUGCGUAGAUAUCGAGAGGAACACCUGCGGCGAAGGCGGGUAGCUGGGCCGACACUGACGCUGAUGCGCGAAAGCCAGGGGAGCGAACGGGAUUAGAUACCCCGGUAGUCCUGGCCUUAAACGAUGGAUACUUGGUGUCCGAGGUUACAUAGUCCUCGGGUGCCGGCGCUAACGCAUUAAGUAUCCCGCCUGGGGAGUACGGUCGCAAGACUG